GAUGAACGCUAGCGGCAGGCCUAAUACAUGCAAGACGAACGGUAAGUUGAGUAGCAAUACUUAGCCAAGAGUGUCGUACGGGUGCGUAACACGUAUGCAACCUACCCUAUACAGGAGGAUAGCCUAGGGAAACCUGGAUUAACCCUUCAUAGUAUUAUUGGAUGGCAUCAUUUGAUAAUUAAAACUGAGGUGGUAUAGGAUGGGCAUGCGUCUGAUUAGUUAGUUGGCGGGUAAUGGCCCACCAAGACGAUGAUCAGUAGGGGUUCUGAGAGGAAGAUCCCCCACACUGGCACUGAGAUACGGGCCAGACUCCUACGGGAGCAGCAGUAGGGAAUACUGGUCAAUGGAUGCAAGUCUGAACCGGCCAUGCCGCGUGCAGGAAGAAGGCCUUCUGGGUUGUAAACUGCUUUUGCCAGGGGAUAAAAUUUCCAUGCGUGGAAAACUGAAGGUACCUGGUGAAUAAGCCACGGCUAACUACGUGCCAGCAGCCGCGGUAAU
rnacentral:rRNA from 1 species